AGGACAUUUGUUUCAUUUCCAACCAUGGCGACCAAAUACGCCAUUACACUGCUAUGAGUUCUCCCACUGUGCCUUCUGGAUGCAUGUCAUAGGAUUACCUUUGGAGUGGAACACAGAACACAUUCUGCGUAAAGCAGUUAAGCAGGUAGGUCGUGUAAUCGAAGUUAAACCAGAUACUUCUGGGAGGGUCCGCAUACAACUUGAUUUGAAAGAACCUUUAAGGACGGGGAAGCUAAUUAGUAUCGAAGGAAAGACAUUAUGGUUAGAUUUUCGCUAUGAGCGACUCUCACAUUUCUGCUAUUCGUGCGGGAAACUAGGACACUAUGCAACAGCUUGUAAAGAAUAUCCUUAUGAGGAAGACACACAUGAUGGUUUAUCGAAACUCGCCUAUGGCCACUGGUUACGUGCGGAGGUUCGACAACAUAGCCCGUAUUGGGACACGUUCUAUAAUCCUCAGGAAUCUAUGGAGCAGAUGGAUGAAGCUGUACCUGAAACUCCCCCUGCCAUGCAAAUGCCAAUCCUAGCACUGCCUCCCAUUGUGCCAGAUUCAGCAGCUCAAGCAACGACCCCCAUCAUCCCCUCAAGAUCCUCCUCUAUGAUGGAAAUAGCCAAUCCCGCUCCAAGGACUACUGACCUGGUACCUGCAAUGGCAAAAGAGUGUUCAGACUCCUUCCCUGGAGAUUCCCAAGAAAAAAAAGCCAACAAUUCUGAAAACGAAUAAUGCUACGGGAUCAGGCAAGAAACAAAAGAGAUACUCUCCGUAUGAUAAUAGAGUUGGCUACUCAUCAGAUCUGGAUGAGACUCAACUUAUGGACACCCCUGUUUAUGCUGUAAAUGAGACAACACAGUGGGCAUUGGCGACUGGCCCCAAACAGCCACCGCAUCUCAAAUGAAGCUCCUAUGUUGGAACUGUCAGGGGUUGGGCAACCCACUGACAGUUCAAGCCCUAAAGGCCGUUUUGGCCAAAGAAAAGCCUGAUCUAGUUUUCUUAAUGGAAACUAAGAAUGUAGCUUCAGUUUUAAGUAGAUUACAGCGUCGGUUUCAUUUUCCUCACUCCUUGAUAAGGGAUCCAGUGGGCCUGGCUAGUGGUCUAGCUAUUUUUUGGACUGAGCUUUAUGCUUUAACUAUUUUGAAGUCAGCGGAGACUUAUUUUGAUCUGCUUUGCUAUGAUAUUUCUGCAGCUACUUCUAUGCAUAUCACAUGUUUGCACGCUCCUUCUACUUAUAGGGCUAGACAAGAGCUUUGGGAUAGACUCAGGGAGAUCAGUGCUGUAAAUACCUUUCCUUGGGUGUGUGUGGGGGACUUUAAUGAAAUUCUCUACCCUUGGGAAAAAGUGGGUAAGAGACCAGCUAUAUCCUCUUGCCUAGCAUCCUUUCGAGCAGUGAUUAGUGCUUGCUCUUUAUUAGAGUUGGAAAGCAAAGGGUGUGAAUUUACCUGGUCUAAUAACAGAACAGGGGCUGACCUGGUAAAGGAGAGAUUGGAUCGAGUCUUUUGCUCUUUGGAAGGGUGAUUGUUGUAUCCUACUGCAGAAGUGUUAGCCCUUCCUGCUUUAGGUUCGGAUCACUGCCCUCUUUUGCUCACCACAUCUACAAGUCCUGUCAAGCGAAAGAAGACUUUUACUUAUGAAGCUUUCUGGAACCAAGAUCAACAGUGCAAAGAAAUAAUUCAACAUUCGUGGAAUAUCUCCCGAGCAGACAAAACCUCUCUGGCGGCAAAAUUGCAGACAGUUUCUCAUGAAUUAGCAAGGUGGAGUAAAUCAAAGUUCAGUAACGGUCAUCUUCGU
rnacentral:lncRNA from 1 species